rnacentral:lncRNA from 1 species
CACAGAGAACACAUAAAACAUCAUUAAAUAGAUAUACAAGUAUUUACAUCAAGUACCUACAAGGAAGAACCAACAGAGGAUUUAGCUAUCCAUAUCUAGGAAGCUUCCUUUACAACAAAGAGAAGAGAAAAAUGAAGGAUUGAAGAAAUACAAGUAGUGGGGAUGUCUCCUCCACCUCUAGAACCUCACAAUCACUCACAAACUCAUCUCAAGCUCUCAGGACGACUUCCUCUUCAAGCUUUGUUCUCUUCAGGUCUUUGCACAGCAAAAUCUCUCAAAACUCUUUGGAUUCAGACCCUUCCCUCUCUAGAAUCUCUCACAUGCAAAAGCUCUUCGAGAAAAUGGCCAAAAUCCUCUCCAAAAUCUGAUUUCAGGCUUAAAUAGGUGGCUUUGUUUGUGCUAGUGCGCUUAGCGCGACUAUGGACUGAUCAGUGCGCAUUAGUGGAUUUCGGCUUAGCGCGUGCUUUUCUCGCUCAGUGGAUGAAUUGAAGCGGCGCGCUUAGUAGGAUGACCCUUCGCUCAGUGAACAUGCACAGCUCAUCCUUCUUCCAAAUUCAUCCUCGCGCUCAACUGAGGAGUGUUGCGCUCAGCGGAUGGCUCGCUGAGCCAAAAGAUUGGCUUAGCGAGAGGAUGAAAAUCAGCACUUCACAAACUUGCCUAAUUAACCUGAAAUUGAGAGGAAAUGAUUAUUAAACAUACAAAAUAGGAGUACUAUGUAUUUAUUACCUAUCUUUAACAAAAGUAAUUACAACACUACAAAAUAACCAUAAAUUGGAGGAGUUUGAUACAAUUUACACAAGUUUUAUAUACAAAAGUUAGUCGUAUUCAUCGACUAACAAGAGCUUCACAUGAGAGAGAGCAAGGAUCGAGAAUCUAGGGACAGAUGAUCGCUUUCCAAGCCCUUCUCUCAUGCAUUCAUUGUAUAGAAUCACUCUCACUACCAUGAGUAACUAAUCCUCUUGCUAAUAGGAUUGGAUGUAAUCUGUCAAACACUUUUGUAAUCUUUUAUAUAUAUAUAUAUAUAUAUCAGUGUUAGUGAAUUGAUUUUGAAUUUAAUGCUUGAGAUGAAUUGAUCGCUCAUUUCAUGAUUCAGGGUUUGGAUUCUAACUGGGAAGUAUUAUCCAAAUACAAAUCUCAAUUAAGUCACCCAAUGGUUAUAAUUGCUAGGAAUAAAGUUAGAAUUGAUGGUUGUUAAGAUUCUUGAAUUUAAUGCAAGUGUUUUGAGUUGAUGAUCAAGGAAUUGGUUGUUGAUCUUGAAAUCCUUAUAAUUUUCAUAGUUGAGGAAUUCACAUGAAAUGAAUCCAUAAAUCCAAUAACAUUGAAUAUAUAAGAAUCAUGUAUGUAUAAUCUAAAGAUUGCAUGAUGGUUAAAUAGGUGAGAUUCGAUCUCAAAGCUUUCUUCCAGUCAAUUUCUCACUUGUGCAACUUGCUCACUUUAUUUAUUUAUUUAUUUCUAUUAUGAAAAUUUGCAAAAAUGAACUUUUAUACAUUUGUAUUUAGUUUGUUUAGGGGUUUUCAUUAAAAUAGUAUAAAUUAUCAUAAUAUCUACCAAUCCCUAUUGAUGCAAUCCUACCCCACAAGGGCAUUGGAUAGAAGACUCCAAGUAGAUUGGGCCAGAGAUCCAAGGGAAGGCCCUAGGGUUCUCAUGAGCCUUAGGGUAGAUUUUGAGCCCAUGGGCUAAGUAUGAGCCCGCUUAUCUUUGUAAAUAUUAGAAUAGGUUUUUUCCUUCGUUUAGGCCUUGUAUUUUGGCCAUUCUAGUAGUAUAGGAUUUUAGCCUUGUAUUUCGAGGCAUUUUGAGUAGUCUUUGUAGUAAGGACUUUUUUUUGUAUUUUCAUGUAUUUUGUCAUGGGGGUGAGCUUAGCUAUUAUAGGGGGUGUGUAGCUAAGCUCUAGCUUCUCAUCUCAAGGAGGUGAGCUUAACUAUUAGAGAGGUAUGUGUAGCUAAGCUCUAGCUUCUUUAGGAAUCUUCUUAAGGAAGCUUCUCAAUGAGGUGAGCUUAGUUAUGAGAGGGGUAUGUGUAGCUAAGCUCUAGCUUCUCAAGGAAGUUUUCGCAAAGAAACUUCUCAAGGAAGUUUUCUCAAGAAAUCUUCUCAAGGAAGCUACCUAGUCUAUAAAUAGAAGCAUGUGUAACACUUGUUGUAACUUUGAUGAAUGAGAGUCUUGUGAGACACAACUCAAAGUUCAACAUCUCUCCCUCUUUUAUUCCUUCAAUUUCGUGCUCCCCCCCCCCCCCCCUCUCUCUUUCUCUCCCUCUUUCUUUUCCUCCAUUGAAGCAUCCUUCCAAGCUUCUUAUCCAAGGCUCAUCUUGGUGGUGAAGCUCCUUCUUCCAUGGCUUAUUCCCUGGCGCCUCCUCUCACCUCUUCUCCUUUGUCUUCCGCUGCAUCUCCAUGGUGGAAAAUCACCAUUAAAGGACCUCAUUGAAGCUCAAUGAUCCAGCCUCCAUAGAAACCCCACAAGAAAGCUUCCAUCACCUAUGGAUAUGACAACCCUUUUACCAUUAUCUAUUACAAACACUUGGUACGCUUGCCAAACCACCAUCACAUGUGGAAUAACCAAAAUGCAGUGUAUAACAUUUAUUAUCAUAAAGAGUGGAUGCCUUUUGAUUUUAACGCAUUGGGCACUGGAUAGAUAGUAAACAAAGCAAUUUAUCUUGGACGAUACAAAGUAUUGUUAAUUCCUUUUAUAUUUGAUCCUGUCCACUUGUCAAAAACUCAUUAGAACAUUAGUAAUUUAUACUUAAUGUUAUUCAUCAAAAUCCAUGAUAGAUGAGAAGAGUGGUCGUCUAGACCUAACACGAAGUUGCUUCGUGAAGAGGGAACCACCAGCAAUUGAGGGUUCAAGGCUCAUAAUUAAAAGCUCGACAAUUCUACUACGACUAUCAAAAAUAGUGUAGAUCACACUAAUCAUGGGGCAUUGCAUGCAUAUGACUUAAAAAGGAAUGAGUUGCUCCUGUCUCUUUUUAAAAAUCGUCACCUUUUAUUCCCACAAUUAGGUAUAUCAGGAAACAAUAUCCAAUUGAAGACAGUAUGGAAAUUGAUUUGAUUCUGUUAGAUAAAAAAGAAAGGAAGUUAUUGCACGGAGACUGAAAACUCCACCAUCAUUUCCGACCAAAGCUCCAACAAACUCAACCAUGUCUCACCAUAAACAACAACAAUAGUAGAUCAUUUUUAUUGGCAGAACCUGGCAGCUAGGCUAGUCAUGAGUCAUGAGUCUUGUAGCUUGGAACUGUCGAGGCUUGGACAACCCAUUGUUCUUUAAUUAAGUUUUUGCAAAAUUUCAUCAACGUAACGGUCUCAAUUCUUGGUAGCCCUAGCUGGCGUUUCACUGGCUAUUAUUGAUUCCCUAGAAUAUCUAGAUGAAGGGAAUCUUGGGACCUUUUGAGAACUCUUUCCUGUGAUAAAACUCUCCCUUGGUGCAUCAUGGGGGACUUCAAUGACCUAUUAUCCCAUGAUGAGAAAAAAAGGGUUGCAAUACCCACCCUAACUCUCUCAUGUUUGAAUUCAGAGAAGCAUAUGUUGAUUCCAAUUUGAUUGGCAUUCGUCUCCUAGGAUAUCCUUACACUUGGAUUAAAAGAAAAGGCUCCCCAAAUGAAAUACUAGAGAAGCUUGAACAUGCCCUAGUUAUAUCAAACUAGAUUGGAAAUUUCUCUAAUUCUUGUCUAACCAAUGCUAUAUCUUGCCGGUCUAAUAAUCUUCCUAUCCUCUUGAAGUUAAACUCUCACUCUCAAACUCAAAAGGCUAAUAGAUUUCAUUUUGAAAACUCUUUGUUGGAAGAGGGAGAGAUUUCUAAUAUUGUCCAUGGUACCCUUCACCUCUUGGCCAACAAGGAUAUCAUCUCAAAACUUCAUACCUAUGUGGAUGAGAUAGACAUUUAAGGAAGGCAUUCUUGUACUUGCUUUAGACGUUAAAUAAAUCAACGAAAGGCAAAUUUGGAAAUUUGUAGACAAAAGGAUAACCCUAUUUUAGUUGCAUGCUAUCUGAAUUCACUAUGAGCAAGAAGAACAUUUCUAGAAAGAAAGGUAAAAAUCUUACUAGAUGCAUGAUGGAGACUCUGAGUAUUUUCUACACAAAAAAUGCUAGGAAGAAAAAGAAUAUUAUUUCUCAUCUCUAUCAUCAUAAAGUUGGAGUUAUGAUGCACUUUCAUGGUGACCUCUAUUAUGUUGCAACUCGUAUUUUAGUAAGCUUUUUCUAAAAGAGAUGUUGAUGUCCAAGUUACAAUCAACCACCUGGACAAGAAAAUUAAUGAUGCUAACAACUCCUUUCUACUCGCUCCUUUCAAAGGCAAGAAGAGAGGUUUUCAUCAAAUCUAUGGCUCAAGCAUUUUCAUCCUAUUGCAUGAGCACCUUUCUAUUGCCCUCUUCUUUGAGAGAUGAUAUCUAGAAAAUGCUAAACUUCUUUUGGUGGGGUUCAAACAAUAAUGCUACUUGGGGAAUUGAAUCAAUUGGGACAAUAUCUAUGAGGAAGGAAUUUGGAGGAUUGGGAUUUCGACAUCUAUAUGACUUUAACUUGGCCAUGUUAAGGAAGCAAGGUUGGAAGUUUUGCUUCGAUUAAGAUGCCAUUGUAACUUGAGUAUUCAUAACUAAAUACUUCCCUAUAUAAUGAGGAUUUCUUGAAGGCUAUAUUGGGUCACAACCUAAGCUUCACAUGACGUAGCAUCUAUUCUUCACGGGGGAUGGUUAAACAAGGUCUUAGAUGGAAAUUGAAUGAUGGUUAUAUUGUUAAAUCUUGUAAGGCCCAUAUGAUCAGUCAUGUCACAAACACCUCUUUUCGUUAAAUAUGUUGACAAGCUAAUCAAGUUGUUCACCAUCUGUCACACGAGCAUCUAAAUUAUUUGCUAGUUUGCAUCAUUUUCAUGUCAUACUUGAUUAUAUUGAUGCCUUGAUUAUUAUUGAAAUGAUAUAAGCAUCUUUCAUUCAAAAAAAUGAACUUUAAUUAUGUAGGUUAAAUUGGAAUUUUUGGUCUCUCUAUAAUUUCUAAUAUGCAAUUUGGUUCCCCAUUUCUAAAUCAAGACAUUUUGUUCUCUUUUUUUUCUUUUCAGAAUCACCAACUUUGGUCCUUUCAUCAGUAGUUGAUAAUCCAAAGUCAGUUUUGAUGUGAUAUGUUGGUGCUUAUGUGAUAUUUAUGUAAGGUGUUGACAUGAGGCUGAUGUGAAAAGGGAUUAAGCCAAGUAAAAAAAUAAAAAAUAUCUAGGUAAGAAUUGAACCAAUGACCUUUUAUACAAUAACUGGGCAAUUGCCCACUAUUAAAUUACAUAUAUGUAAAUUAUACAUAUUUUUAUUAUAUUAGGAAUCAUUUCAAUUUGAAUAUAAAUUAUGUGAAUUCAUUUUCAUAUGUAAUAGAAUAAAAAACAGUAAAAUUUAAAUACUAAAAUAAUGUACAUAAUUUGUAUUACAUAAUAAAAUAAUUUAUACAAAUAUUUACAUAUAAAUUUAAGUACCUUUCUUGAUUAUAUAUCAUUUUUAUGCAAUUAUAUUGAUUUAUAUAAUUUGAUUAAUAAUAAUUUAUAUAUUAAAACCAAUUACAUAUAAUUUACACAUUAAUUUAUGGAAUUCAAUUAUUUUUUAUAACCAGAAUAAAAAAAUAACAUUUUUCAUAUUAAAAUUUUAUGAAUUUUAUAUUAAAAUAAAUUGUGUAAUUAACACUCUUUGUUGCCUUGUCAUCAUAUAGAAGGUCUCAUCCUCAAUUUUUAUUAACACACUUUUAAUAUUUCACUUUAUUUAAUCCAUUGUCACAUAAGUGUCCUAUCAACAACUAGGAGGAGGAGGAGGAGGAGGAGAUUGUUCAAUUGAUCUUAAUGACCUUGACUUGUUGAUUAUCAAGGGAAUAGCGCCAAUAAUAAGGGACGAAGUGACUUGUUCCCCUUACUUUUCUUAAUUUUCAUUUAUAUGAAUAUAUAAAUUAUAUAAAAAGAAAAUAUUUAAAUAUUAAUAUAUACAUAUAUUUAGAGUAAUUAUUUUAUUUAGGGGAUUUGACUAUGUAAAUAAAUAAUGAUAUUUAAGUGUUUUUUAUAGUCUUUAUUGUAAAGAUAUGAUUGUUUCUUUUUUUCUCUUUCCACAGAAAAUAUUUUAUUCUCCUUUCUAAUAAUUUUUUUCUUUCAUAAUAUCUUAUUUUAAAAGUUAUAAAUAAUUGUAUUUAUGAUUAAAUGAUUUUAUUAGAUAUUUAUGUUAAUUUGAUUCAAUUGAUUUGAGAAUUGAAUGUUAUUUACCAAUAUUUGUUAAUGGGAAAAAAAUUAUGAAUGAAAUAUGUUUGAAAUUGAGAACUUCAAUUUUGAGACACAUGAACAAAUAUCAUAUCAUUUAUCAUCAAUAUUCUAAUAUUUUCUUUUCUCCUUCAUUCUUCCUAUGUUUUUUAUUUCUUCUGGUUUUACAAUCCUAACUUCUAUUCUAAUACUUUUGAUUUCGAGAUUCACUAGAACUUAUAUUGGAUAUGCUUUUUAGAUGUAGCAUUUACCAUUACAAGAUAAAAAUUUAUUUCGGACGGAAUUUUUCCCAUGGAAAAUAUUUUAUCGAAAAUUUUGAAUUUUCCCACAGAAUUUACCGAAGGAAAAGUUUCCGUUAGAAAUUACUAAAAAACGGACGGAUGUUACUCACGAUCUAUUAUUCCAUCAGAAAGUUGACAUUUCUGAUGGAUUAUAUUGACAAAAUGGGAAUCCCUGGGAAACUGAAAUUUCCCAAAACAUAUCACGACAAGCCUAGCUGUCUAAGUCACUAGGUUUUUUCGCAUUCUUUUCCCCCUCCUCCCCCAUUUGUGCCCUUCACAGAUACCACACUAUCUUCUUCCCUCAUUCCCAUCCAAAUCCUCUCUCUUCGCCACCAUCGCUGCCGCCAUUGCUUCCUCUCCACUCUUCCUCCUCCCCUCCUUUCAACACUCCCUCUCCUCGGUCGUAGGACCCUCUCUCUCUCUCUUACAUUCUGUGUCGUUUGAUUUUUUAUAUGUAGUAAUAACUAAAAGUACAAUGUUGAAUCAUUUUGCAACUCCUUUCGACGUUGUCCUUGUUAAUUCUGAGGAAAGUUUGAGGUUUUCUUCUUAUUAUUAUUAUUAUUUUAUUUUUUCUAGGUUUCGUUUAUGGCUUUGGUCAUGUUAUGUGAGUGUUUAUGAGUGAUGCUACAAGACAUGCCAUGCAAGGUUUGAUUAGCAAGAAUCAGAUCAUGGGAGGAAGGGAUUUUGAGUAUGAUGAGGCGAGGGAGUGGAAAGUUUGAAUUUUUAUGCUUUUGAUCAUGUGGAUUUUUGUGGUUAGGGGUUCAUGUAGGGUUUCUAAUUUUGGACUCCAGAGAAAAGAGUUUUUUUUCUCUUUGUUUUGUUUGCAGCUUUGGUGAUCUGAGUGUUUAUGACUGACGUUACGAGAGACCAUGCGGGUUUGAUUAGCAAGAUUCAGAUCAUGGGAGGGAAGGAUUUUGAGUCUGAUGAGGUGAGUGAAGUGGAAAUUUUGGAUUUUAAUGGCUUUGAUCAUGCUGGUGCUUGUGAUUAGGGGUUCAUGUAGGGUUUCUAAUUUUGGACUGGGGAGAAAGUUUGAGGGUUUUAUUUUUCUGGGAUUUAGUGAAUUUAGUGGUGAGUGUUUAGUGAGUGGUGCUUGGACUGAGUGGGAAUUACUGUGGAGUCUAUGACAUUGGCUAUUGAUUUUCCUUGUUUUGUUGAUUCUGAAUUGGAUUUUUCUUUGGUGAUUCAUUAUUAAUUUAUUACCUUGUUUGUUUCUAAAAGAUUCAUUAAAUUGAGUUCAGUUUUAGGGGGGAAAUAGGUGUGUUUUAUUUUUCCUGAUCAAGUGGGGGGUUUAAUGUAAUAGUUGGGUAAGAUCGAUUAUUUGAUAGGAAAAGGAAGUAAUUUAUUUUCAAAGAUAAGUGGAGGAUGGGAAAUUCUUCAAAAUAGAAAAAGUUGUAUGCAAAAAUGAUAGAACAAAUUAAGAAUGCAGCAAGUCCUGCCCAUUUUUUUUUUUUGCUUAAUAGAGAUAGCAAUUCCCCUGAAAAAGCCAUGAACAGACACCGAAGAGUGGCCAUAAACAUAGCUUUAUUCUAUAUCAAGCUUUGGACCUAAGAGACUUUCUUAGAGAUGCAAUCAUUCGUCUCUUUUUAUAAUGAAUGUGUAUUCGAUAUUCAAUUGAUAAAACCUUUCAUUCCCUAUAUACUUUUUCUCUUUGAUUUAGCUUUUAAUUUUCACAAUUGCCUUCUCUUGAUAGAAUUUACUAUAUAUUGUGUUCUCUGUAUUUUUUUAUUAUGAUUUCUAGCAUUUGACGUUGAUACGGAUUUUUAAAUGUACCUUGUUGUGCUUUUGUUCUGUUAUUUUCUCAUAUAUGUGUGAAUAAAUCAAUGGAGAGAGCUGACUUUUCUUUUCUGAUUAAUUUCUGUUGAAUAGAUGACUCGUUGCAUGUCGUCUUCUAUUUGACUCCGGCUUGGUGUGCACCUUGUAAGUUCCUAUGGCUUUUCUUCAAGGUUAGAUGCUUAACUUCAUGUGUCUGGCUUUCAACUUGAAGUUCUAGAUUCUUUUUUGUUUGACAAGUGACCUCAGAUAUCUUAAGAAGGGGGGGUUGAAUUAAGAUAUUACAAAUUAUUUCUCCAAUUAAAAUUCUAUUUAACUUUCUAUUCAAGUUAUAAAUUCCCUUAAUAAUGAAUUUCUUAAAUAUUGAUUCAAAUAGAACAAUUUGAAUAUGAAUAUAAAACAAUAAUAAAUAAAGGAGUUUAAGGGAAGAGAAAGUACAAACUCAGAUUUAUACUGGUUCGACCACACCCUUGUGCCUACGUCCAGUCCCCAAGCAACCCGCUUGAGAGUUCCACUAUCUUGUAAAUUCCUUUUACAAGUUCUAAACACACAAGGACAAUCCUUCCUUUGUGUUUAGAAUUAUUUCACAACAAGAGACCCUCAGUCUCUUAAUCCCUUUUCAGAAUGAAGAAGAAGAAAAGAAGAAAUCUCUCUUGAAAGAGAUAAAUUGAACAAUUUGAGCACUCAAAUAAUUCCUUAUUGAAUCACAAGAGUUUUGGCCAAGGAAUUUGUAAGAGGAUAAAACGAUUUUGCUUUUUAAGAGGAUAAGACCUUUUUGUUCUGAAAAAAACUCUUCGCAAAUUCGUGUCUCAAGUCACAUAUAUAUAGGCCUUUGAUAGCCAUUCAAGAACCACACAAAAAGAUGUGACUGUUGAGAAUAUUUUCUGAAAAUCUCCUUUGGUAAUUGAUUACAGUAUGUGUGUAAUCGAUUACAAGCUUUAAAAUUUGAAUUAAAACAUUAAGUAACUGUUGGUAAUCGAUUACCAUAUAUGUGUAAUCGAUUACACAAUGCAAAUUUUGAAUUCAAAUUUUAAUAGCUGUUGUAAAUCAAUUUUGGCCACUGGUAAUCGAUUACAUCCUCUAGUAAUCGAUUACCAGAGAGUAAAUUUCUUGUAAAAUACUUUUUAACUUAAAUUUCUUGGCCAAACCUUUUGCUACUUCAAUUGGAAUUCCCCUCCUAUUUAAUAUACCCUUUCUAAGACUAGAGACUUGUCUUGAUCAUCCAUCCUAAAUAUCUUUAAUUUCUUUGUCUUGAUUAAAGCUUUGAGACGCAUGUGAACCUUUGGCAUCAUCAAAACAUUCAGUUUGAUCCUUUGUCUACAUUUUUUUGUUGGCUCAAACUCUCAACCUCUUUCGUUAGUGAAGUUAAUUGUUCCUCAAACUUUGUUGGUUCAACUUAGGAACCUCAUUUGUACAAUCACCUCUAUCAAAUUCCAACUUAAGGGUGCCAAGAUCAAAUACAUUGUGAUAUUCUUUUUUUGACUUUAUCUUAAUACCAUGUACUUCCUCUGGGAAAAGUAUUUAGACUUUGAGUCAUAGGAAGACACUAUAGCCUUCUUGAUUCUUACUUUAGAGUUAUGUAAAAGGAUACACUACUACAAAAAGGCCUUCUAUGACGGUUGUAACACAUAUUCAAAGACGGUUCAUUGAAAGUCACCAUUGAAGCCAACGUCAUUGAAAGUCUAAGACUUUUAAUAACGUUUCCACAAAAAACCGUCUUAGAAAAAGAUACAUUUCUAAGACGGUUGUUAGUUAAAAACCGUCUUAGAAAAAAUGAUUCUAAGACGGUUCUUUAAAGAACAGUCUUAGAAUCAUUUUUUUUUUAAAAAAAAACAUUUGAAACUUAGUUAAGAUUCUAAGAUAGUAUUCUAAAAAAUCAUCUUAGAAAGUUUACUUUCUAAGACGCUUAUCUGAAAAAUCGUCUUAGAAAGUCUUUUUUAAAAAAGAAAAAAAAAUGUUAAAAAUUUGAGGAUUUUAAGACGAUUUUCCUAAAAACCGUCUUAAAAGAGUAUCCUUCUAAGUUGGAUUUUUUAGAACCUUCUUAGAAUAUAUUUUUUUUAAAAAUUAAAAUAAUGAAAAUAUUAUCAUUAAAAAAUUCAAUUUUCAUCUCAACAUCCCUAACUUCAGCAGGUACAAUAUCCCUUAAGUUUUUUUUAUCUAGAAAUUCAUUAACACUAACAACAAUGAUGUGUUAAAAGCCAAUAAUUAUCUUUAACUGAAACCAAUUUAAAACCUAGAAAGCUUCACAAACUAAAGAAAAUAAAACUAGAUAGGUUCAAAUAAAUGGUGACUGGGAGCAGAAGGCCCACUUUUCCAAUGUGAUCUCAAACAAAUGAAUAGCUCAUUCAUUUUCCAUAAAACUCUUAGUAGGACUGCCAACCAACACUGAAGGACUACUACUUUAAGUUUAUGACACAAAAUUUUGAUCCAAUCCAAAAAAGCAGUAACUAUCCCCAACAAUCACUUCAGCUGGAGCAAGUAACUAUCAAUCUAUCUUGGGAAUCACAUACAGUGUGUUAAUAAAAGAUGCAAAGAAAUUACAAACUAAGAAAUUAUGUAUUUUCAAAGUACAAAAUUCUCUAUGAAUAAAAAGUGUGCAUAAACAUUUAGCUGUAAAAAAAAAAAACUACACUUACUUUUAGCAGUAAAAAAAACUACGCUUAAUUUUACGUUAUUUUCAUUUGAGGGAAAUAGUGAAGACUUACCAUGUAAGCUAGACUGAGACAAGGAACGCUUCCUUCGCAAACCAUUGAAAUAAGUAUAUUAAACACAGUAGAUGUAGAAGAAUCUUUUCGUCCUGCUGUAAGCUAAUAUGCCAGUAGUCCAUUAUAAAAGAUAAAUUUGACAAUUUAAAGGCUCCAGUUCAUGUUGUAUUUUCAAAGUACAAAAUUCUCUAUGAAUAAAAAGUGUGCAUAAACAUUUAGCUGUAAAAAAAAACUACACUUACCUUUAGCUGUAAAAAAAACUACGCUUAAUUUUAUGUUAUUUUCAUUUGAGGGAAAUAGUGAAGACUUACAACGUAAGCUAGACUGAGGCAAGGAACGUUUCCUUCGCAAACCAUUGAAAUAAGUAUCUUAAACACAUAGUAGAUGUAGAAGAAUCUUUUCGUCUUGCUGUAAGCUAAUAUGCCAGCAAUCCAUUAUAAAAGAUAAAUUUGACAAUUUAAAGGCUUCAGUUCAUGUCAUGUGUUUUUUAAAUCUAGAGAAUUGGUAUAUUAUUUUAUAAAGAAAUUUUUAUAAUUUUUUUUAAUUAAAAACAUUCACAACACCGUAAAAUUACUUUAAGACUAUAUGUAUUAUUUUAAAAGGAAUCAAGUAUAU